AUAACCUGGAGGAAGGUGGGGAUGACGUCAAAUCAUCAUGCCCCUUAUGCUUAGGGCUACACACGUGCUACAAUGGGUAGUACAGAGGGUUGCCAAGCCGUAAGGUGGAGCUAAUCCCUUAAAGCUACUCUCAGUUCGGAUUGUAGGCUGAAACUCGCCUACAUGAAGCUGGAGUUACUAGUAAUCGCAGAUCAGAAUGCUGCGGUGAAUGCGUUCCCGGGUCUUGUACACACCGCCCGUCACACCACGGGAGUUGGAGACGCCCGAAGCCGAUUAUCUAACCAUUUGGAAGAAGUCGUCGAAGGUGGAAUCAAUAACUGGGGUGAAGUCGUAACAAGGUAGCCGUAUCGGAAGGUGCGGCUGGAUCACCUCCUUUCUAAGGAGA
rnacentral:rRNA from 1 species